rnacentral:lncRNA from 1 species
UUUUCUCUUUGUUUUCUUUCAAGAAAGACGACCCCUCCCCUCCCAUCUCUCAAAACUCCGGCCUUUUAGGCCUUUUCGGCCUCCGGCGCACCGCCAUCGUGGCCCUAGGCCGACGACGAGGGAAAAGGGCUACUCAGGUAUAUUUCUUUUCCUUCCCCCUUUUCUUUGUUUUCGUAUAUACAAGAAUAAAAAUAAAAUAACAAUAAUAAGAGAUUGAAAUCUAGAAUAUUAAGAUGAAAUCACCUUGAAACUAGUUUCUCUGUUUUUAUAUUUUUUAAAUCUCUGUUUCAAUCCGUUUCUUGUUACAAAAAGUCCCUUUUUUUAUCAAAAAUAAAGAUCGGUUCCCCCC